rnacentral:lncRNA from 1 species
AUUUAAUACAAGAGGUAAAAGAGAACCAUUGGAACUCAUCGAGCAGGAAACCUUCAGUGCUUCCUGCUUGGUUUGGUGUCCAGAGGUGUGGGAGAAGCAAUGAGCUGUGGAGGAAUGAGCAUUGACUGGAUGGAGGGUCUGAAGAGCUAGAGUCAAAUUCUGAUUGCCAUUUACUUCCCACAUGAUCUUGAUAAGAACACCAAGGAUCAGAAGUGGCAUGUUCUGUGACUCGGGAGUAAGUACUCAUUCCACUGUCCCAUACUGCCUCUCAAUAGUAAGCACUUGAUAAAUACUCAUUCAUUAAUUGAUAAGGCAGAUAAAAAUAAGAGCCUGUGCAGAUAGAAUUUUAUCCCAAAUGAUGAAUGGCUAUGUUUGUGGUUGUUCUGUCGUUUUUCAAUCAUGUAUGACUUUGUGACCCCAUUUGGGAUGUUAAAUUUAUUUUUGGUUGGACUUUGAAUAUAUUAUUAAUUAGGUGGUCACCAGGG